GGCCCGUUGGUCAAGUGGUUAAGACACCGCCCUUUCACGGCGGUAACAUGGGUUCGAAUCCCGUACGGGUCA
rfam:Lactobacillus animalis strain 381-IL-28 NODE_32_length_260173_cov_22.791466, whole genome shotgun sequence.